GGGGGCGACAAGGUUUCGACGUUGGUAUUGAAACUCUAUGUGCAUGUCGAGGUUCAGGAUCCUCGUAAAACAGUCUGAAUUAAAUUAGUUGCAAAUAACAACUACGCACUAGCUGCAUAAACCGGCUGGCAUUAGUUUAAUCUUUCUUGGAGGACUAAAUUAAUGACAAUUAUCCGAGAUCGUGAUUAUUGUUCUUCUGUAAAUAAUCAUUAAACCUUAAUCAGAGGAUCGCUAUUUAGCUACCUUCCUGUCGGUUUUAAAUAGUUAAACAUUAAAGAUAAGGAUAAACAUGUAGAUCAUUUUGCGGAUAGCUAGCGGACGCGGGUUCGAUUCCCGCCGCCUCCACCA
rnacentral:tmRNA from 1 species